AGGACUCUGAAGCUGACUCAAAGAACUAACACUUAUUUUAAACUGGAUCUUAAACUGUUGGAUUGUGUUCAUCUCUACAGGAUCGGAUAUGGACUAGGAGAGACGAUCAGAGCCACGAUCCAGAAGACCUGUGACAGGAAGUGAAGACACACAGAAAGUUUAUUCAUCACAGGGCGAGUUUGAGACGUACAGAGGAGCGUAGAGGCAUUUUGGAAAAUAAAGAAGAAGGCUGCAGCUGAUGAGAGACUUCCUGUUGGCUCUCCUCAAUAUUAAAUGAACAAAAACAAUCAAUUGUACUUAAAGCUUUUCUUAAGAAGAAAGAUGUGUUGCACAUAUACCUGCUGCUACCUACCACCACCUCCCACCCAUCCCGGCACCAAAGAGGAGACUCCAUCGACCCCAGAUACCCCAACUCACUCUUCUUCAGGUUAGCUUGGAGCCCCGCCUUUACCUGCCCCAACACCUCACUUUGAACGAUGUAGCUAUCCGGAUAUCUGCAUACUGAGAGUGGGACGCAGGACCCGGUCAAUGAGCUGCUGGAAGGGGGUCCACUGGACUGGAGGGGCGCUUGGAUCUGGUGAUGCCUGGCUCUUUCUGAAAGGGGAGGACACUUAUCUGCCAUAGUUUCUCCACCUGACGACCUUGACGGCAUAAAGAACAUCUGAUUUAAUGUGAGGUAGGGAAAUAAUCAUUUGAGGAUAAGUAUGUGUAUAUAAAUAUGUAA